UACGAGGGGGGCGAGCGUUGUUCGGAAUUAUUGGGCGUAAAGGGUUCGUAGGCGGGACAGCGAGUCUCAUGUAAAAGGCGAGGGCUUAACCCUCGAGUCGCAUGAGAGACAGUUGUUCUUGAGUUUUGGAGAGGGUCGUUGGAAUUGCUGGUGUAGGAGUGACAUCCGUAGAGAUCAGCAGGAACACCGGAGGCGAAGGCGACGACCUGGCCAAGGACUGACGUUGAGGAACGAAAGCGUGGGGAGCAAACAGGA
rnacentral:rRNA from 1 species